rnacentral:rRNA from 1 species
CCUACGGGACGCAGCAGUGAGGAAUAUUGGUCAAUGGCCGGAAGGCUGAACCAGCCAAGCCGCGUGAAGGACGAAGGUGCCAAGCAUUGUAAACUUCUUUUGUCAAGGGACAAAAUCAGGCUCGAGAGCCUGACCGAGGGUACUUGAAGAAAAAGCAUCGGCUAACUCCGUGCCAGCAGCCGCGGUAAUACGGAGGAUUCAAGCGUUAUCCGGAUUUAUUGGGUUUAAAGGGUGCGUAGGCGGUCGGAUAAGUUAGAGGUGAAAUCCCGAGGCUCAACUUCGGAAUUGCCUCUGAUACUGUUCGG